GUCCUAGUGAUCCUACUGCUUUCUUAACCCUCUGGGCCUUCCAGUCUCCCUCUUUAAAAGAAGGUUGAUUUAUAGCUAUUUACUGAACCCAUUCCAGUAGUAGGAUGACACCAAAUGAAAUGGACCUUGAGUUUCUCAAAGUUUUUACCCUGAUUCAAUAUACAAUUUUAAUUGUCUGCAAGUAUUUUUGAAUAUCUUAAGAUAAACCUAUCAAUCGGUUGAAAAUUUAUAAACAAAUUCUAACUUUGUUAUGCUAUUUCAGUUGUUGCAAGUAAGAUUUGAGGCAAAUUGAAUGAGUUGAUGGAUGUAACAUGAAAAGGCUUUGAUAGUUUCCAACUGUGAAGCUCCAAUCUCCUGAGUAUUUAAUCUUGCAAACUGCUUCCUCAGUGUUCUAGCAGAUGCCUUCUUAGUAGUCUAGUUCCUGAAAUGAAUCCAUCUUCUCAGUUGUGUUCCUGGGUCCAGACCUUAAACCCCGGCCACAAUUAUGAACACUAAUUGGUAGGCUCAGCAGAGAGGCUAAGGGGUGAAUAGGCACCAAGAACAAAAGUAGGUUCUCUCCUUAGAACUGUGUGAAUGAAAAGGGUGGGAAAGGUCAGCUUGCUGCUGCCUGUACUGAGUCCACUCUGGAAGAGAGGACUUCAGUCUGGCACAUCUCCCAGUAAGGAAAAUAGAAAAGAAAACCCACAAGGCAAAAUUUUCUCUUUGGAUUUUGUCAGAUGAUACAGAUCUAACAGAAAAGCACACAAAAAAGAAACGAAUCUACCCCAUAGUUUUUGGGCCAAAAUGAGAUUAUAUUUAGACAGUGGCCCUGGGUGCUACAAAUUGUCUGAGGAGCCUUUGCCCUGUGACUUUGCUUUACUGAGAGCUUACUGCUGAACCCAGCCAGCAACUCACUCCAGGAUCCUAGGGUGGUCGGGCAGGCAUGGGUCUAGGGCAUUCUGUGCCCACUGUGCCAAGGACGCAAGGACAGGAAGGCAGGAGCAGGAUUCUCAGAUUUGAAUAAACAGAGGGGAGGCUCUCAAUGAUUUCAACGGGAAAAACAUCACACACAGCUUUUCUUUUGAAGUGGCAGUGACAUUAUGAAAUGAACAGUUUUUCCUCUCGGGACAAAAUGGGAGCAAUUUCCCUGGGGCAUUUUUGCUCAGGUUUUUGACCAACAGGAAUGCAUGGUCUGGAUUCAGGUGAAAGUAGAAAAGUACUUAAAUAUCUCAUGGAUUCCAAGACUACACCUUUAGCUGGUCAUGAUUAGUUAAAAAUCCGUAUAGUUUGGUUUCUGAAAAUUUCCAAAUGAAAAUCAUGAAUGGAUUUUUCCUCUAUCCAGAAGAGUUCUAGAUAUCAAGAAGUUUGAUAUGUGUGGCCCAUGGCAAAAUAUUUUAAAACAGCUCAUAGCCUUUCAUCAAAUGACCAAAUAAAAUGAUCAUAUUGAACACAGGGUCAUUUAACUCAAUCAUGAUAUUCAGAUAUACAGAAAAUACUACAAAGAUAACGUCUCAUAUCUGGAGAUUGUAACCAGAGAAACUCUCUAGUUUGUGACUGUUUGGUUUUUUGAGAUGGAGUCUCCCUCUGUCAUCCAGGAUGGAGUGCAGUGGCAUGGUCUUGACUCACUGCAACCUCCACCUCCUGGGUUCAAGUGAUUCUCCUGCCUCAGCCUCCCAAAUAGCUGGAACUACAGGCUAAUUUUUUGUAUUUUUUUGUAUUAUUUAUUAUUUUUUGUACAUUUUUAGAGAUGGGGUUUCACAAUGUUGACCAGCCUGGUCAACAUAGGAAAUCCCGUCUCUAAUAAAAAUACAAAAAUUAGCCGGGUGUGAUGGCAGGCGCCUGUAAUCUCAGCUACUUGGGAGGCUGAGCAGGAGGAUCGCUUGAACCUGGGAGGUGGAGGUUGCAGUGAGCCGAGAUUGUGCCACUGCACUCCAGCCUGGGCGGCAGCAUGAGACUCUGUCUCAAAAAAAAAAAAAAAAAAAAAAAAAAA
rnacentral:lncRNA from 1 species